UCCCUUCCUUUCUCACUUUGAUGCAUUAGCUUUGUUUCAUUAUACUCUUAUAUGAUGCUCUGCGUCUGUGAUGAUCCACCACCAACUGAGGUAUAUAAAUAAGCUGUGUUUCCUACAUUUGUGCUGAUCCACACAACUUGCUGAUCUCCAACUUAUUUCUUUUCUGACCAUCUGCAUUUGUGCAUGUAGUCAUGGACACCGACUCAAAAAAUGAACAAGGUUACCCCUUCAGCUGCAGGUGCAGGUAAAUCAUCUUGCAAUACCCAUGGUGCCACACGUGUUUUAUUCACCAAUCCUGUCAAGAGAAAUCAAAAUCAAGACGCCAAUCAGCUUAGCCUUGGGCUGCUCCUUUUCUGCCUUUUGUUUCCUGUAUACACUCAUCUUUCUUUGAUGGACCUGAAUUUCUUUUUGUUGUGUUAGGUUGACGGUGACACUGCAGAUGUAGCUUCUCUGACCGCUACCGAAGACACCGCUGAACAGCUUAACCAAACAAAGACAAAGUGCUGUUAUGUAGGCAUGGUUUAAAAACUAGAGCCUUUGGCUGGUCAAGUACCCUUGCCAAAGCGUUCGUGUAAUCUCUUCAAGUUGUAUGAAGCAAAUUCUAUGUAUGUAACACCCAGGAAGAAUAUUAUAAUAAUUAUAUAGAAGCAGAGAAUCAACCUUGCUAGAGCGUUUGUCAAAUAUCUACUCGAGUAGCCUUGCCAAACUUUAUCUGAUGUGUUCUUCA